rnacentral:misc_RNA from 1 species
GAUGAAGAACGUAGCGACAUGCGAUAAGUAAUGUGAAUUGCAGAAUUCAGUGAAUCAUCGAAUCUUUGAACGCACAUUGCGCCCCCUGGUAUUCCGGGGGGCAUGCCUGUUCGAGCGUCAUUUCACCACUCAAGCCUCGCUUGGUAUUGGGCAACGCGGUCCGCCGCGUGCCUCAAAUCGACCGGCUGGGUCUUCUGUCCCCUAAGCGUUGUGGAAACUUUCGCUAAAGGGUGUUCGGGAGGCUACGCCGUAAAACAACCCCAUUUCUAAGGUUGACCUCGGAUCAGGUAGGGAUACCCGCUGAACUUAAGCAUAUCAAUAAGCGGAGGA